AGACAAAUGGCUGUCCAGAAUAUUGGGGUGCAUCCCAAGGUCUCCUCACCUCCGAGAAGAAAACCUUCCCGAUGGUCUUCUCUCUUAGAUCGGGACGGGGCAGGACCAGGAAGAAAAUGGCUUCGAACAAACCAUCAGGAGUCACCGUCAUGUCCCAGCAUCUAACCUUCUCCAACUGACUGAACUCCUCCUGAUAGCCGGCACAUAAUAUUAAAUUUUUGAUGGCUUGCACUGCAUUGCUAAAUCAUGAGGUUCAUGAGGACUUCCUUGAUGGGUCUGCCUUUUAGCGGCUUCUUGCUCUCCCAUAAAAUUUUAAAGGACUCGUCAGAGAGUUCUGAGAAGAAGAGACAGACAGAGAUUGAUGGGCAAUUUGAUGGGACAAGUCUUCUCAAAGCGAAGAGAGAAAAAAAUGUGCUUAGACCAGACUGAUCCUGAGGGAAGGGUCAAACGUGUCAUAACUCUCGAGUCCCUGAUCUUCAUAUUCUUAGACAACCGUCUUGAGGAGGAACUUUGAACUCCAUAUAUGGAAUUGGAAUUUUUUCCAAUUCCAUAUAUGGCGGAGGGGGUCAACUUAUUUUCCAAAGCAGCAGAAGGCAGGAAGAGAAGCAACGGAUGGAAGCUACUCAUGGAGAGAAGCAGCCUGGAAUUAAGGAGAAACUUCCUAACAGUGAGGACAAUCAACCAGUGGAACUUCUUGCCACCAGAAGUUGUGAGUGCUUCAUCACUGGAGGCUUUUAAGAAGAGACUGGAUAGGCAUUUGUCUGGGAUUGUGUAGCAUCUCCUUCUUGAGCAGGAGGUUGGACUAGAAGACCUUCAAGGUCCCUUCUGGCUGUGUUCUGAUAGAUAGAUUGAUUGGUAGUGUGGGAUGGGCUGAUAUGAUGGGACAAGGUGGUUCCAUAGGUAGCCCAGCCCUGUAGCGCCUAUACCUGGAUAUGAGGGAAGGACGGUGUCUUGAGAGCGUUUUCUCCCCCGAGGCCUUUCCCUCUUGGGCCUCCUUGGAAAGGGAGGGGGCUCUUUCAGGCCAGGCUUCAUCUCCCCCUGAGAAGCCUUCAGAGGAGUCCUGGCAGAUGUCCUGCGCACCAAAUCAGGGAGCACCAGCGCUGGAGGCUGAACCUUCUUCCUGACCUCCAAUUGAACUGGGGAAGACGUCACAAUCAGAGGCAAGGCCUCCAUGGUUCUGGCUAAAGAACCGGAUGGGUGGGAGCCAGAGAAGAGGACUUCCUGGUUGUCCCACUGACACAGGUCAUUGUUGCUGAUUUGUGACUCUGACUCCUUGCUGUCCUUCUUCAGGAAGGGAAGCUUUUUCAGCCUAUGAUCCAUCCUGUUGUGAAGAGUGAGUGUUGGAACUGGAGUAGAGUAGAGUAGAGUAGAGUAGAGUAGAGUAGAGUAGAGUAGAAUAGAAUAGAAUAGAGUAGAGUAGAGUAGAAUAGAAUAGAAUAGAAUAGAAUAGAAUAGAAUAGAAUAGAAUAGAAUAGAAUAGAAUAGAAUAGAAUAGAAUAGAAUGAGCUGGAAGGGAUCUUGGAGGGCUUCUGUUCCAGCCCCCUGUUCAAGCAGGAGAACCUAUAGCAUUUCGGAUAAGUGGCUGUCUAGUUUCCACUCUAGGGAUUCACUUAACAACGGUGGCAAGAAAGGUUGUAAAAUGGGGCAAAACUCACUUAAGGACCGUCUCGCUUAGCAACCUCAAUUUUGGCCUAGAUUGUGAUGGCAAGUCAAGGGUUGCCUGCGUUUCAGUUUCCUUGCAGACCAUCCAGAAUCUCUUCCUUUGUGAGAUGGACAAUCCUUUCACUUAGAUGAAGAAAGAAAGAAAGUUUGUUUUGAAGGGGGGGGGCGAUUUUGGUGAUUCAAUGCAGCUUCUGGUUUCAGAGCUGAGUUUGCUCCAGUUGCUUUAAACACCGGCAGCUCUUUAAAUUUCGAGUUUCUUGGCCUCUUCAGCUUUGAACAACCUUCAUGGCAUCAGAUCUCCCUACCGUCAGUUUUGCACCUAACCAUUCCUUCUUUCUCACGGGGUUACACGGCACAUCAAGGUGUCUGCGCUUUCUCCAGAGAUUUGAGCUGCCAUUCACUUGCUGAACGUUUUCUGGAUUGGACACAAAUAGUUUCAUUACUGGAAGAGACUUUAGACAUGAAAUAAACGCUAAUAAGUCAAACAACAA